rnacentral:rRNA from 1 species
CGGAUCAGGUAGGAAGACCCGCUGAACUUAA